rnacentral:rRNA from 1 species
UACGUAGGGAGCAAGCGUUGUCCGGAAUCAUUGGGCGUAAAGCGCGCGUAGGUGGCCAUGUAAGUCCGCUGUGAAAGUCGAAGGCUCAACCUUCGAAAGCCGGUGGAUACUGCAUGGCUAGAGUACGGAAGAGGCGAGUGGAAUUCCCGGUGUAGCGGUGAAAUGCGCAGAUAUCGGGAAGAACACCCGUGGCGAAGGCGGCUCUCUGGGACGGUACUGACGCUGAGACGCGAAAGCGUGGGGAGCGAACAGG